rnacentral:rRNA from 1 species
GACGAACGCUGGCGGCGUGCUUAACACAUGCAAGUCGAGCGGAGCGGCGCACGGGUGAGUAACGCGUGAGUAACUGCCCCCCUCUAUGGGAUAACAGUUGGAAACGGCUGCUAAUACCGGAUAGUGGGGGAUGACUCGCGGCCUAUCAGCUUGUUGGUGGGGUAGUGGCAUACCAAGGCGACGACGGGUAGCCGGCCUGAGAGGGCGACAGGCCACAUGUGGCUGCGGUACGGCCCAAUCGCCGACAGGGGGCAGCAGUGGGGAAUAUUGCACAAUGGGGGAAACCCUGAUGCAGCAACGCGCGUGCGGGAUGAAGGCCUUCGGGUUGUAAACCGCUUUCAGCCAAGACUCGGUAGUGGCAGAAGAAGCACCGGCUAACUACGUGCCAGCAGCCGCGGUAAUAC